rnacentral:rRNA from 1 species
AGUGAACGCUGGCGGUAGGCCUAACACAUGCAAGUCGAACGGCAGCACAGUAAGAGCUUUCUCUUACUGGUGGCGAGUGGCGGACGGGUGAGGAAUACAUCGGAAUCUACUUUUUCGUGGGGGAUAACGUAGGGAAACUUACGCUAAUACCGCAUACUAUCUACCGGUGAAAUCAGGGGAUCUUCAGACCUUUGCUGACUGAAUUAGCCGAUGUCGGAUUAGCUAGUUGGCUGGGUAAAGUCCCACCAUGGCGAGGAUCCGUAGCGUGUCUGAGAGGAUGAUCAGCCAACCUGGAACUGAAAACGGGUCCAGCCCCCACGGGGAGGAAGCAGUGGGAAAUAUCGGAAAAUGGGCGAAAGCCUGAUCCAGAAAUCCCGCGGGGGUGAAGAAGGCCUUCGGGUUGUAAAGCCCUUUUGUUGGGAAAGAAAAGCAGCAGGUUAAUACCCCGCUGUUCGGAGGGUACCAAAAGAAUAAGCACCGGCUAACUUCGU